rnacentral:lncRNA from 1 species
UUUCCCUUUCUUCUCCCAAUUCGAACAAUUCGACUUAUUUCAUCACACUGUUCUAAGUUUAAUCCAUAUGAGCUAGCAGAGGAACCUAAUGGACCUAUAGAUCAUGGGCUCCAACGAUUCAAGAUUAACUAGCUAAACUCUUUUAAACCUAGUUAAUCAACAUUCGUUAACUAACAGGUCAUUCCACUAAAGUCCCGUAGUUGCACUCCCCUCACUAUAGAUAUAUUUGUCCAUUUGAUAAAACCAUAAUCAGUAAGUUAAUCCUUCACAGGUUGCUCGUAACCUUGGCUGGGUCAAAAUACCAUUUUACCCCCAAGAUUACAUCUUGCUCCUUAAGUCCCACUAAUCCACUAUUGAACAAUUGGUUUAAGGUUCAACCUAUAAACUUAAUCUCUCUCGGGCCAAUGAGAGGGUGGGGCCCCUUGUUCUAGACUUGGAUUCAGUGCUUAAGAGAGCAACCUAUCUACUAACCCUAAAGCAGGUAGGAGUGAAUUCCAUCUUGUACCCUAUGUUCCCAGCUAUCCACCCGAUCUUACCCCUGAAAUGGGAGGCUUAUUGGGCCAACGCUGAUGAGCUGCCCUCACCUAUGCAGAUCUAAGGAUAAUCUCGUGUGAACAGGAGUUCAUAGUUAACUCAGGAUUAAGACUAAGUUACCUAGGUCAUCAAUAAUUGAGAUAGUCAGUUUUAAACAGUAAACGGUGUUAUAACGUAAAAAUGACUAAUUCAUGGUUCAGUCUUAUGUAAACAUUUUACAUAGGAUGCCCCCACUUUCAUGUCUCUACAUGAACGAUUAGGAUCACCUCGUUUGUACUAAAAAGUGGGCCGCAUCCAUAGUUUCUCUAAAUAAGGCGCCCAACCUUUAUUUCAUAUACUAUAGACUAUUUAGGCUAUAUACUCGAACUUGAUCCACGUUUAUGUUUACACAUAAAGUUCAAGUUUAUUCAAAAAAAUAGCCUUGGAACUUGAUUUAUUGGAUUUAAGAUUAUAAUAUUUAAUUUCUCAAUAACAAAUUUAUUGAACAGAAUAUGAUUUACAAACUACGAGUUUUAGGACAAAAAAUUCCAACAAGGUCUAGUACAUAACAUUGCAUACAUUAAACUUCCAACAGCGGAAGCAUAGGGAAUAUUUCUCAUAUCCUCAACUUCUUGAGGUGUCUUAGGACAUUGUUCCUUUGACAAAUGAAUUCCAUAUCUGUACGGCAGCAGACCCUUUUUGGAAUUCUGCAUUUUAUAUCUAGACAACAUUUUGUCUAUGUAAGAUGCUUGAGACAUGGCUAGUGUUUUGUUCUUACGGUUUCGAACAAUUUGGAUUCCGAGAACGUAUUGUGCAUCUCCCAGAUCUUUCAUUUGAAAUUGCAUAGCUAGCCAUUUCUUGAUAUCAGUAAGAUAUCCUACGUCAUUUCCAAUAAGUAGAAUAUCAUCUACAUAUAAGACUAAAAAUGCUAUAAUGGAAUUGACGACCUUUUUGUAAACACAAGGCUCGUCAACAUUUUGUUCAAAGCCAUAAGAUUUGAUCGCAGUAUCAAAUCUUAUAUUCCAGGAUCUAGAAGCUUGUUUUAAUCCAUAAAUGGAUUUUUUAAGCUUACAAACCUUUUGUUCUUGAUCUUGUUCUAUAAACCCCUCUGGUUGAGACAUAUAGAUACUCUCUUCAAGAUUACCGUUCAAAAAAGCUGUCUUGACAUCCAUCUGCCAAAUUUCAUAAUCAUAAAAAGUGGCGAUGGAUAAGAGUAUUCUAAUUGACUUUAACAUGGCAACGGAGAGAAAGUUUCCUCAUAGUCUACUCCCUCUCUCUGGUAUAACCCUUUGCCACAAGUCGAGCCUUAAAAGUCUGUACUUUACCGGCAUGGUCUCGUUUUCUCUUGUAGAUCCAUUUACAACCAAUAGGUUUUACGUCAUUUGGUUGAUCUACUAGAGUCCAGACAGAAUUAAAGUACAUAGACUCCAUUUCGAGGUCCAUGGCUUUGAUCCAUUGGUCACGAUCUACAUCUUUCAUUGCCUGUUUAUAGGUUAAUGGAUCCUCUAUGCCAUCGUCAGGUAUGACGACUUGAGUUUCAAUUAAACCCAAAUAGCGAUCAGGCUGAUGAACAACCCUCCCACUACGUCGAGGCUCUCUCAACUGUUGAGAAGGAUGUGAUUGACCAGAUUUCCUAGUCUUAUCAACUACCUUAGUGGAUGAACUAGGUUUAUCUAUAGCACUUUUGGAAAUUUCUUUUAAUACUAGUUUACUACGAGGUUGAUGAUCCCUGAUGUGGUCUUCCUCUAAGAAUGUGGCAUUUGUUGACACAAAUAUUUUAUUUUCUUGAGGAUCAUAAAACAAACCACCUCUUGAUUCUUUUGGAUAACCUAUGAAAAAGCAUAAUUUUGAACGAUGUUCCAAUUUCUUAGGAUUUUGUACCAACACGUGUGCUGGACAACCCCAAAUUCUAAAAUGACGUAAACUUCCUUUACGCCCUUUCCAUAGCUCAUAAGGUGUUUCUGAAACACUUUUAGAGGGAACAUUAUUCAAAAUAUAAGCAGCUGUUUCUAAAGCAUAUCCCAAAAAGAAUCUGACAUCUGAGAAAAACUCAUCAUAGAGCGAACCAUGUCUAACAAGGUCCGGUUUCUUCUUUCUGAUACACCGUUCUGUUGAGGUGUACUAGGUGCAGAGAGUUGUGACUGGAUUCCAUUUUCUAUUAAAUAGUCUCGGAAUCGUAAGUCCAUAUACUCUCCACCUCGAUCUGAUCGAAGUAUUUUUAUUGUUUUACCUAAUUCGUUUUCUACUUCAGCCUUAUAUUCUUUGAACUUUUCAAGACUAUUAGACUUAUGAUGUAUUAGGUAAAUAUGACCAUACCUUGAAUAAUCAUCAAUGAAGCUAAUGAAAUAUUCAUAUCCACCUCGAGCUUUGACAUUCAUUGGUCCACAAAGGUCCGAAUGUACGAGCUCUAAGGGUCCUUUGGCUCUUAGACCUUUUCCAGUAAAAGAUCUCUUGGUCAUUUUUCCUUCAAGACAAGAUUCACAAGGAGGUAAAGUAUUAUUUCUAACGACUUAGAAGCCCACUUUUAACUAAUCUCCCAAUCCUAUUGAGAUUUAUGUGACCAAGUCUUAAGUGCCAUAAAUAGGCAUUAGAAGAAACUUUUUGUCUUUUAUUCUGAGUUUCAGCUGUUCUGAAUAUUUCAGUAUUUAAGACAAAAUUUGCUCUGGUUGGUCUUAACUUAUAUAAGUUGUCUUCAAGUAUAGCAGAACAAACUAGAAUACCUUUAUAGAAAACGAACGCUUCAUUAAUUUCAAAAGAUAUUCUAUACAUUUGUUCCAAAAUACAAGAGAUAGAUAUUAAAUUUCUUUUCAUUUGAGGUACAUAUAAGACAUUCUUAAGUAUGACAUAUCUAUCUCUAAAAAACAACUUUAAAUCUCCCACUGCUGAAGUGAGACCAUCUCUCCUGUUCCAACCUUGAGAGUGAUCUCGCCUUCUGAAAGCUUUUUCAAGAACUAUUUUCCUGAAAUGAGAAGCAAAUAUGGUUAGUGGCUCCUGAAUCUAGUAUCCAGGUACAAUUUUCAUAUUCCACUAAACAUGUUUCUACAACUAGUAAAUCAUAUUUACCUUGUGUUUCCUUCUCUGCCUUUUUUUCUGCAAGGUAUUUUGGGCAGUUUCUUAACCAGUGCCCGUUUUGGCCACAAUGGUAACACUUACCUUUUUCUGCACCUUUCUUACCCUUGUUCUGUUUGGGAGUCUUUCCCUUUCCCUUCUUUUUUAUUUGAGCAUUAGGUUUUGAGGGUCCAGCUUUGGUUUUAGAGGACGAUCCUCUUAUAAAUUUUCUUUUUGUGGUAGCAACAUUUGCUUCCACUUGUUUUCCUUUACCCAUAGUAAGGUUUUGGAAUCGCUGGAGUUCAUUCAGAAGGGUUGUCAAGUUAAAUUCUAUCUUGUUCAAAGACGCAUUCGUUUGGAAUGGAAUGAAGCUCUUCGGAAGAGACUCUAAGAUAAAACUAACUUGAUUAACCUCUUCGAUGGGACCACCAUUCACUUCAGCGAUGUUGAAGUGCAUCAUCAUGUCCAGAACAUGUUCUCUAACAGAGGUCCCUUCCUUCAUACGCUUAGUGUAAAUGUAUUUGACUGCCUCGUGUCUUAAGGACAUUCUGGUUGCCCAAACAUUCCCCUUAAUGAAUCCAUAAUCUCUUUAGCCGUGGCUAAGGAUUCAUGUUUCUUUGCCAAUACAUCAGACAUGCUGGCAAGAAUGUAGACACGGCUUUUUCAUUAGCUUUUAUCCAUCGAUCAUAUGCAUCCCGACUAGUUCGGUUAGCAUUAGAGGCAGGGUUUUGAGGACAUUCCUCAGUUAAGACAAAUCUUAAAUCGUCAACCACUAGUAUUGUGUUAAGAUUUGAUUUCCAAGCCGCAUAAUUAUCGCCAUUAAGUUUUUCGGAAGCUAAAAGUUGAACUAUUGAGCUAUUCAUGCUGAAAAACAAACAUAUUCUUUUUAGGAAAAAACUAUAAUCAUAAAAAAUAUCCAAUCUAAUUUAGCAAUUACUAAUAAUGUACCCUUUCAUUAUUUGUAUUUUGCAACAAUAUUUCAAAGGUUUAGAACAACCUUCUCCGAAGGGUAGUUGAUUAUUCCUCCUUUGAACCAAGACAAUCUUGACUAGAUGCUAUCUCUAGAAUAACUGCUUAUUCUUUAUAGCACUUAGUUAUCGCUACUUUAGUCAAGAAUAUACUAACAACUUAGUAAUUCUUGUAAGUGUUACCCACCAUUUUCAGAUUUCAUAGAUUAGAAUCAUUUAUGAAAACUAAUCUAAGAAAACCUAUCCAGAUUUGGAGUUCGCGGUGUUCCGAAUCCUAUAAUACAACCCUCCGAAGGGAACGUCGCUCCAGGGCAGACAAGCAGGCAUAUUAUAGAAAUCUCACGGUGCGACCUAAUGGAAGAGACCGUGGAUGUGCUGCCACAAAUCCCUCACCCACUUACUAUGAACUACUUCCCCUAUUCACCUUGAUUUUGAUCCAUGCAAACACUCUCCGAAGGGAGGCCGCUCCUAUGCACGGCACAAAGCCCUGCAUGGACCUCACGGUGUGAACUCUUAGGGACACUAGAGCUAAAAUACAUUAUUUUUCUCUAGUUGAAGUGUUCUAAAAGAAGAAAAAAAAUAGGGUAAUCCAAGCUUCAAGAUUUAUAUUUAGGCUAACUUAAACAAAUCUUUAAGUCUAGAUAAAACAUCCAAGUAUAACCAUUAUACAGGAUUUUAACCUAUGAUGUCUAGGUGUAAACCAUUUUUAUUACCUCACACCUCUCACGAAUGCUCAUAAAACUAGGUUAACUAGGCUCAAGAACUGAUUACGAUCUCCAGGUAGGAGGUGUUCCGUAAACCGUCAACUUAAGAACCUCCAACCUUAGUCAUCUUAUCUGACUUGUUGACAAGAUUGAACCAGGUGAGCCUUUUGUAACCAGUUUUACAAGAUAUCGACCUAUUUCUAUGAAAAAUGGAAGAUAUGUUUAACCUAAGUGAGCAUGCAUUUAAUCUUUGUUAUUGAUUUUAAAAGUCUAAUUUAUUUUAUAACACUUAUAAAAACUUUUAACUUAAUCAAUCAUUUUAUCAAUAUAUAACCUUAUAAAAACAAUCAAUUAAUAUGGAUUUUAAUUUAUUUAACUUUAAUUAAAUCAUAUUUAAUUUUUAAUUUAAUUAAAUCAUAUUUAAUUAAAUUAAAUCAAACAAUAAUUAAUUAAUUUGAUUAAAUCAUAUUUAAUCAAGAAUAACUUAAUUAAUUAAAUAAUUAAUUAAUCAUAUUAAUUAAUUUCCAUAUUAAUCAAUCAUAUUAAUUAAUUUCCAUAUUAAUCAAUUAACAUGCAUACAAUACAAUAUAACCUUUAUAUCAUACAUUUUAAUGCAUGAACAUGUUAACCUAUGGUGGAUUUUAAAUCUAUAUGACAUUCAAAUGCACAUACAAAUUUAAAGUAAUUUAAUCAUACAUCACAUGCAUAAAUAAAAAAACACCCUAAAAUGGACUGAUUUUUGGCUCCUAAAUUAAGCUAAGUACUAAAUUAUUACAUAAUUAAUUUGGUGUAGUACAGAACCACUCCAAAACAUCGAACCUGCCCAAAAACCAAAUUUAUUGGCUUGAACCGGGCCAAUUAACUAAACAGGCCCAGGCGCACACAGGUCAGGCGCAGGUGGGCGCGCGGGCACGCGGGCGCAGGCGGGUCGCGAAGCGGGUCAAGGCCGGGUUUUCGGUCUGUGACCUUCUUUUCUUCAUUUUUUUCAAUUCUCUCACCCGGUUGAACCAAUUACAGCCUAACUUCAACUCUAAUGAUUUUUUUUAUUUUAAAAAAAAUUACAAAACACUUUGCAACAAUAAAAAUAAGCCAUUAACAAGGCUAAUUACAAUAAUUAAACAAAAACACUUAACCUAGAGCCAAAAUCAUAAUAUAUCCAUUUUAGUUCAAACCAAAAUUUAUCUAAUAAAUAUGAACCCACCACAUGCAAUUGGGUAAAAAUGAAGCAUGCUCUGAUACCACAUGAUAGAACUAAGUCAUGCACAGCGGAAAAAGAAUCGAAUUUCUACCCUAAUUGCCACAAUUAACAUGUAACCAUAAAUUAAUCAAAUUAGGGUUUUAGGAAAUAUUACCUUUGAAGCUUUCAAAAGGUUUGAUAUCUUCUUACCAAUUCUAACCGAGACCACCACUAGUACUCAACUGCUAUCCUCUUGACAAAGAACCGGGUUGUGGGACCCAAUUUUGGUGUAGAAAGUAAUGGAGAUAAAAUGGGAUUGGAAUGUUUCUUUUUUUUCUUUUGUUGAGAUGAUGAAAAUGAUAAAAGAGGCAAAAGUUCUUCAACAUUUGAAAACACCUCUAUUUAUAACCUAAUUACAUGCAAAAAUGCAUGCAAUUCAUUUGCCAAAUCUCAACACCUAAUGUUCCACUAACAAUUAGUGGAACUUAGUGGGCUAGGUGUCUAUCUCAUAUAGCCACAUAUCCCACUAAGAGUUAGUGGGAUUAUCCAACAAAAUGUUGGAUUUCCACUAACUUAGUCCAAGGGUAAAAUGGUCAUUAGAUAUUUCUAGUCAAAAGUCAAACUUUGACUUUUGUUAGUCAAAAGUCAAUAUUUUGACUUUUUACCAUUUUGUCCGUCUUGACUAAUUCCAACCUCCCGAGCAGAAGGGGGUCGGAGGCCCCGAAAGUUCACGUCUAGCUACUGGAUGGUCCGAUUCUGAGUGGUCUCGAAGUUUCUUGCCCACAAACGCCGAACGGUGAUGCCCCAGACUCAGUUUCUUGGUUCCGUCCCAAAACGCCGAAAGAAAGGCACAAUGGCCUAGAAAGAAAUGGCCGGACUUAGAAAGGGGUCGGAGGCCCCAAAAGUUCACGUCUAGUUACUAGGUGGUCUGAUUCUGAGUGGUCUCGAAGUUUCUUACCCACAAAAGCCGAGCGGUGAUGCCCAGACUCGGUGUCUUGGUUCCGUCCCAAAACGCCAAAAGAAAGGCACAAUGGCCUAGAAAGGAACGACCGGACUUAGAACGGGGUCGGAGGCCCCGAAAGUUCAUGUCUAGCUACUGGGUGGUCCGAUUCUGAGUGGUCUCGAAGUUUCUUACCCACAAAAGGCGAACGGUGAUGCCCCAGACUCGGUUUCUUGAUUCCGUCCCAAAACACCGAAGAGAGGCACAAUGGCCUAGAAAGGAACGACCGGACUUAGAAUGGGGUUAGAGGCCUCGAAAGUUCACAUCUAGCUACUAGGUGGUCCGAUUCUGAGUGGCCUCAAAGUUUCUUGCCCACAAAAGCCGAACGGUGAUGACCAAGACUCGGUUUCUUGGUUCCGUCCCAAAAUGCCGAAAGAGAGGCACAAUGGCAUAGAAAGGAACGACCGGACUUAGAGUGGGGUCGGAGGCCUCGAAAGUUCACAUCUAGCUACUGGGUGGUCCGAUUCUGAGUGGUCUCGAAGUUUCUUACCAACAAAAGCCGAACGGUGAUGCCUCAGACUCGGUGUCUUGGUUCCGUCCCUAAACGCCGAAAGAAAGGCACAAUGGCCUAGAAAGGAACAGCCGGACUUAGAAGGGGGUCGGAGGACCCGAAAGUUCACGUCUAGCUACUGGGUGGUCCGAUUCUUAGUGGUCUCGAAGUUUCUUACCCACAAAAGCCGAACGGUGAUGCCCAGACUCGGUUUCUUGGUUCCGUCUCGAAACGCCGAAAGAAAGGCAUAAUGGCCUCGAAAGGAACGUCCAGACUUAGAACGGGGUCGGAGGCCUCGAAAGUUCACGUCUAGCUACUGGGUGGUCCGAUUCUUAGUGGUCUCGAAGUUUCUUGCCCACAAAAGCCGAACGGUGAUGCCCAAGACUAGGUUUCUUGGUUCCAUCCUAAAACGCCGAAAGAGAGGCACAAUGGCAUUGAAAGGAAUGACCGAACUUAGAACAGAGUCGGAGGCCUCGAAAGUUUACGUCUAGCUACUCAGUGGUCCGAUUCUGAGUGGACUCGAAGUUUCUUGCCCACAAAAGUCAAAGGUGAAGCCCAGACUCGGUUUCUUGGUUCCGUCUCAAAACGCCGAAAGAAAGGCACAAUGGCCUCGAAAGGAACAACCAGACUUAGAACGGGGUCGAAGGCCUCGAAAGUUCACGUCUAGCUACUAGGUGGUCCGAUUCUGAGUGGCCUCAAAGUUUCUUGCCCACAAAAGCCAAACGGUGAUGCCCCAGACUCGGUUUCUUGGUUCCGUCCCAAAACGCCGAAGAGAGGCAAAAUGGCGUUGAAAGGAACGACCGGAUUUAGAACGGGGUCGGAGGCCUCGAAAGUUUACGUCUAGCUACUCGGUGUUCCAAUUAUGAGUGAUCUCGAAGUUUCUUGCCCACAAAAGUCGAAAGGUGAUGCCCAGACUCGGUUUCUUGGUUCCGUCCCAAAACGCCGAAAGAGAGGCACAAUGGCGUAGAAAGGAACGACCGAACUUAGAACGAGGUCGGAGGCCCCAAAAGUUCACGUCUAGCUACUCGGUGGUCCGAUUCUGAGUGGUCUCGAAAUUUCUUGCCCAUAAAAGUCGAACGGUGAUGCCCUAGACUCGAUUUCUUGGUUCCGUCUCAAAACGCCGAAAGAAAGGCAUAAUAACCUCGAAAGGAACGACCAGACUUAGAACGGGGUCGGAGGCCUUGAAAGUUCACGUCUAGCUAUUGGGUGGUUUGAUUCUUAGUGGUCUCGAAGUUUCUUGCCCACAAAAGCCGAACGGUGAUGCCCAGACUCGGUUUCUUUGUUCCGUCCCAAAACGCCGAAAGAGAGGCACAAUGGCCUAGAAAGGAACGACCAAACUUAGAACGAGGUCGGAGGCCUUGAAAGUUCACGUCUAGCUACUGGGUGGUUCGAUUCUGAUUGGUCUCGAAGUUUCUUGCCCACAAAAGCCGAACGGUGAUGCCCCAGACUCGGUUUCUUGGUUCCGUCCCAAAACGCCGAAAGAGAGGCACAAUGGCCUAGAAAGGAACGACCGAACAUAGAACGGGGUCGGAGGCCUCGAAAGUUCACGUCUAGCUACUGGAUGGUCCGAUUCUGAGUGAUCUCGAAGUUUCUUGCCAACAAAAGCCGAACCGUGAUGCCCAAGACUCGGUUUCUUUGUUCCGUCCCAUAACGCCGAAAGAGAGGCACAAUGGCCUAGAAAGGAACGACCGAACAUAGAACGGGGUCGAAGGCCUCGAAAGUUCACGUCUAGCUACUGGGUGGUCCGAUUCUGAGUGGUCUCGAAGUUUCUUUCCCACAAAAGCCAAACGGUGAUGCCUAGACUCGGUUUCUUGGUUCCUUGCCAAAACGGCGAAAGAGAGGCACAAUGGCCUAGAAAUGAACGACCGGACUUAAAAUAGGGUCGGAGUGCUCGAAAGUUCACGUCUAGCUACUGGGUGGUUCGAUUCUGAGUGGUCUCGAAGUUUCUUUACCAAAAGCUUAACGGUGAUGCCCAAGACUCGGUUUCUUGGUUCCGUCCCAAAACGUCGAAAGAGAGGCACAAUGGCCUAGAAAGGAACGACCGAACAUAGAACGGGGUCGGAGGCCUCGAAAGUUCACCUCUAGCUACUGGGUGGUCCGAUUCUGAGUGGUCUCGAAGUUUCUUGCCAACAAAAGCCGAACCGUGAUGUCCCAGACUCGGUUUCUUUGUUCCGUCCCAUAACGCCGAAAGACAGGCACAAUGGCCUAGAAAGAAACGACCGAACAUAGAAUGGGGUCGGAGGCCUCGAAAGUUCACGUCUAGCUACUUGGUGGUCGGAUUCUGAGUGGUCUCAAAGUUUCGUGUCCACAAAAGUCGAACAGUGAUGCCCUAGACCCGGUUUCUUGGUUCCGUUCAAAACGCCGAAGACGGGCACAAUGGCCUAGAAAGAAACAACCGGACUUAGAACGGGGUCGGAGGCCUCGAAAGUUCACGUCUAGUACUGGGUGGUCCAAGUCUGGGUGAUCUCGAAGAUUCUUGCCCACGAAAGCCGAACGGUGAUGCCCCAGACUCGAAUUCUUGGUUCCGUCCCAAAACGCCGAAGAAAGGCACAAUGGCCUAAAAAGGAACGAUCGGGCUCAGAACGGGGUCGGAGGCCCUGAAAGUUCACAUCUAACCACUAGGCGGUCCAAUUCUGAGUGAUCUCGAAGUUUCUUUCCCUCAAAAGCCGAACAAUGAUGCCCCAUACUCGUUUUCUUUGUUUGAUCCUAAAACGCGAAAGAAAGGCACAAUGGCCUUGAAAGGAACGACCGAACUCAGAACGGGAUCGGAGGCUCCGAGCAUUCACAACUAACCACUGGGCGGUCCAAUUCUGAGUGAUAUCAAAGUUUCUUGCCCACAAAAGCCGAACGGUGAUGCCCCAUACUCGGUUUCUUGGUUUCGUCCCAAAACCCUAAAGAAAGGCACAAUUGCCUAGAAAGGAACGACAAUACUUUGAACGGGGUCGGAGGCCUCGAAAGUUCACAUCUAACCACUGGGCGGUCCGAUUCUGAGUGAUCUCGAAGUUUCCUGCCCAUAAAAGUCGAACGGUGAUGCCCCAUACUCGGUUUCUUGGUUCCGUCCCAAAACGUCGAAGAAAUGCACAAUGGCCAAGAAAGGAACGACCGGAUUCUGAACGGGGUCGGAGGCCUCGAAAGUAUAUAUCUAACCACUGGGCGGUUCGAUUCUGAGUGAUCUCGAAGUUUCUUGCCCACAAAAGAUGAACGGUGAUGGCCCAUACUCGGUUUCUUGGUUCCGUCCCAAAACGUCGAAGAAAGGCACGAUGGCCUAGAAAGGAGCGACUGGACUCAGAACAAGGUCGGAGGCCCCGAAAGUUCACAUCAAACCAAUGGGCGGUCCGAUUCUAAGUGAUCUCAAAUUUUCUUGCCCACAAAAGUCGAACGGUGAUGCCCCACACUCGGUUUUUUGGUUCCGUCCCAAAACGUCGAAGAAAGUCACGAUGGCCUAGAAAGGAACUACCGGACUCAGAACAGGGUCGGAGGCCUCGAAGUUCACAUCUAACCACUGGGCGGUCCAGUUCUGAGUGAUCCCAAAGUUUCUUGCCCACAAAAGCCAAACGUUGAUGCCUCAUACUCGGUUUCUUGGUUGCAUCCCAAAACGCCGAAGAAAGGCACAAUGGCCUAGAAAUGAACUAUCUGACUCAGAACGGGAUCAAAGGCCUCAAAAGUUCACAUCUAACUACUGGCGGUCUGAUUCUGAGUGAUCUCGAAGUUUCUUGUCCACAAAAUCCGAACGGUGAUGUCCCACACUCGGUUUCUUGGUUCCGUCCCAAACGCCGAAGAAAGGCACAAUGGCCUAGAAAGAAACGACCAGACUCAGAACGGGGUCGGAGGCCCCAAGAGUUCACAUCUAACCACUAGGCGGUCCGAUUCUGAGUGAUCUCGAAGUUUCUUGACCACAAAAGCCGAACGGUGAUGCCCCAUACUCGGUUUCUUGGUUCCGUCCCAAAACACCAAAGAAAAGCACAAUGGCCUAAAAAGGAACGACUGGACUCAGAACGGGGUCGGAGGCCCUGAAAGUUCACAUCUAACCACUAGGCGGUCCAAUUCUGAGUGAUCUCGAAGUUUCUUGCCCUCAAAAGCCGAACGGUGAUGCCCCAUACUCAUUUUCUUGGUUUCGUCCUAAAACGAAAGAAAGGCACAAUGGCCUUGAAAGGAACGUUCGGACUCAGAACGGGGUCGGAGGCCCCGAGCGUUCACAUCUAACCACUAGGCGGUCCAAUUCUGAGUGAUAUCAAAGUUUCUUGCCCACAAAAGCCGAACGGUGAUGCCCCAUACUCGAUUUCUUGGUUCCGUCCCAAAACGCAGAAGAAAGGCACAAUGGCCUAGAAAGGAACGACCGGACUUAGAACGGGGUCGGAGGCCUCGAAAGUUCACGUCUGGCUCUGAGUGAUCACGAAGUUUCUUCCCCACAAAAGUCGAACGGUGAUGCCCCAUACUCGGUUUCUUUAUUCCGUCCCAAAACGCCGAAGAAAGGCACAAUGGCCUAAAAAGGAAAGAUCGGGCUCAAAACGGGGUCGCAGGCCCUGAAAGUUCAUAUCUAACCACUGGGCGGUCCGAUUCUGAGUGAUCUCAAAGUUUCUUGCCCACAAAAGCCGAACGGUGAUGCCCAGACGCGGUUUCUUGGUUUCGUGCCAAAACGCCGAAGAAAGGCACAAUGGCCUAGAAAGGAACUAUCGUACUCAAAACGGGGUCGGACGCCUCGAAAGUUCACAUUUAACCACUGGGCGGUCCGAUUCUGAAUGAUCUCGAACUUUCUUGCCCACAAUAGCCGAACGGUGAUGCCCCACACUCGGUUUCUUGGUUUCGUCCCAAAACGCCGAAGAAAGGCACAAUGGCCUAGAAAGGAAUGACCGGACUCAGAACAGGUUGGAGGCCCCGAAAGUUCACAUCUAACCACUGGACGGUCCGAUUCGGAGUGAUCUCGAAGUUUUUUGCCCACAAAAGCCAAACGGUGAUGUCCCAAACUCGAUUUCUUGGUUCCGUCCCAAAACGGAGAAGAAAGGCACAAUGGCCUAGAAAGGAACGACCGGACUCAGAACGGGGUCGGACGCCCUGAGAGUUCACAUCUAACCACUGGGCGGUCCGAUUUUGAGUGAUCUCGAAGUUUCUUGCCCACAAAAGCCGAACGGUGAUGCCGCAUACUCGGUUUCUUGGUUUCGUCCCAAAACGCCGAAGAAAGGCACAAUGGCCUAGAAAGGAACGACCAGACUCAAAACGGGGUUGGAGGCCCCGAAAGUUCACAUCUAACCACUGGACUGUCCGAUUCUGAGUGAUCUCCAAGUUUCUUGCCCACAAAAGCCGAACGGUGAUGCCCCAUACUCGAUUUCUUGGUUCCGUCCCAAAACGCCGAAGAAAGGCACAAUGGCCUAGAAAGGAACGACCGGACUAAGAACGGGGUCGGAGGCCCCGAGAGUUCACAUCUUACCACUGGGCGGUCCAAUUCUGAGUGAUCUCGAAGUUUGUUACCCACAAAAGCCGAACGGUGAUGCCCCUAAAAUAGUUUACAUAGGAUGCCCCCACUUUCAUGUCUCUACAUGAACGAUUAUGAUCACCUCGUUUGUACUACAAAGUGGGCCGCAUCCAUAGUUUCUCUAAAUAAGGCACCCAACCUACAAAGUGGGCCAUGAGGGCUUUUGUAAAAGGAUCAGCAAUGUUUGGCUGAGGAGAAAUCUGGGUUACUACAACGUCACCACGAUGUACAAUUUCCCUGAUAAGAUGGUACUUGCGUUCAAUAUGCUUUCCUCUUUUAUGGCUUCUAGGUUCUCUUGAAUUUGCAACUGCACCACUGUUGUCACAGUAUAAAGUGAUUGGUAGAUGCAUAUUUGGAACGACUUCCAAUUCUGUCAAGAAUUUUCUUAGCCAUACUACUUCUUUUGCUGCUUCACAAGCCGCUACGUAUUCAGCUUCCAUUGUGGAAUCAGCUAUACAAGUUUGCUUUAUGCUUCUCCAAACUACUGCUCCUCCAUUUAGAGUAAAUACUGAUCCUGAUGUAGACUUUCUAGCAUCUUUAUCAGUUUGGAAAUCUGAAUCAGUGUAUCCAGUAAGGAUCAGAUCCUUUGUACCAUACAUGAGCAUGUAGUCUUUUGUUCUUCGAAGAUAUUUUAGAAUGUUUUUAACGGUUGUCCAGUGAUCACGUCCAGGAUUGGAUUGAUACCUACUGACCAUCCCUACUGAAUAGCAAAUGUCAGGUCUAGUACAUAACAUUGCAUACAUUAAACUUCCAACAGCGGAAGCAUAGGGAAUAUUUCUCAUAUCCUCAACUUCUUGAGGUGUCUUAGAACAUUGUUCCUUUGACAAAUGAAUUCCAUAUUUGUACGGCAGCAGACCCUUUUUAGAAUUCUGCAUUUUAUAUCUAGACAACAUUUUGUCUAUGUAAGAUGCUUGAGACAUGGCUAGUGUUUUGUUCUUACGGUUUCGAAUAAUUUGGAUUCCGAGAACGUAUUGUGCAUCUCCCAGAUCUUUCAUUUGAAAUUGCAUAGCUAGCCAUUUGUUCUUGAUCUUGUUCUAUAAACCCCUCUGGUUGAGACAUAUAGAUACUCUCUUCAAGAUUACCGUUCAAAAAAGCUGUCUUGACAUCCAUAUGCCAAAUUUCAUAAUCAUAAAAAGUGGAGAUGGAUAAGAGUAUUCUAAUUGACUUUAGCAUGGCAACGGGAGAGAAAGUUUCCUCAUAGUCUACUCCCUCUCUCUGGGUAUAACCCUUUGCCACAAGUCGAGGCUUAAAAGUCUGUACUUUACCGGUUUGGUCUCGUUUUCUCUUGUAGAUCCAUUUACAACCAAUAGGUUUUACGUCAUUUGGUUGAUCUACUAAAGUCCGGACAGAAUUAAAGUACAUAGACUCCAUUUCGAGGUCCAUGGCUUUGAUCCAUUGGUCACGAUCUACAUCUUUCAUUGCCUGUUUAUAGGUUAAUGGAUCCUCUAUGCCAUCGUCAGGUAUGACGACUUGAGUUUCAAUUAAACCCAAAUAGCGAUCAGGCUUAUGAACAACCCUCCCACUACGUCGAGGCUCUCUCAACUGUUAAGAAGGAUGUGAUUGACCAGAUUUCCUAGUCUUAUCAACUACUUUAGUGGAUGAACUAGGUUUAUCUAUAGCACUUUUGGAAAUUUCUUUUAAUACUAGUUUCCUACGAGGUUGAUGAUCCCUGAUGUGGUCUUCCUCUAAGAAUGUGGCAUUUGUUGACACAAAUAUUUUAUUUUCUUGAGGAUCAUAAAACAAACCACCUCAUGAAAAAGCAUAAUUUUGAACGAUGUUCCAAUUUCUUAGGAUUUUGUACCAACAUGUGUGCUGGACAACCCCAAAUUCUAAAAUAACGUAAACUUCCUUUACGCCCUUUCCAUAGCUCAUAAGGUGUUUCUGAAACACUUUUAGAGAGAACAUUAUUCAAAAUAUAAGAAGCUGUUUCUAAAGCAUAUCCCCAAAAAGAAUCUGGCAUCUGAGAAAAACUCAUCAUAGAGCGAACCAUGUCUAACAAGGUCCGGUUUCUUCUUUCUGAUACACCGUUCUGUUGAGGCGUACUAGGUGCAGAGAGUUGUGACUGGAUUCCAUUUUCUAUUAAAUAGUCUUGGAAUCGUAAGUCCAUAUACUCUCCACCUCGAUCUGAUCGAAGUAUUUUUAUUGUUUUACCAAAUUCGUUUUCUACUUCAGCCUUAUAUUCUUUGAACAUUUCAAGACUAUUAGACUUAUGAUGUAUUAGUUAAAUAUGACCAUACCUUGAAUAAUCAUCAAUGAAGCUAAUGAAAUAUUCAUAUCCACCUCGAGCUUUGACAUUCAGUGGUCCACAAAGGUCCGAAUGUACGAGCUCUAAGGGUCCUUUGGCUCUAAGACCUUUUCCAGUAAAAGAUCUCUUGGUCAUUUUUCCUUCAAGACAAGAUUCACAAGGAGGUAAAGAGUUAUCUUCUAACUGACUUAGAAGCCCACUUUUAACCAAUCUCCCAAUCCUAUUGAGAUUUAUGUGACCAAGUCUUAAGUGCCAUAAAUAGGCAUUAGAAGAAACUUUUUGUCUUUUAUUCUGAGUUUCAGCUGUUCUGAAUAUUUCAGUAUUUAAGACAAAAUUUGCUCUGGUUGGUCUUAACUUAUAUAAGUUGUCUUCAAGUAUGGCAGAACAAACUAGAAUACCUUUAUAGAAAACGAACGCUUCAUUAAUUUCAAAAGAUAUUCUAUACAUUUGUUCCAAAAUACAAGAGAUAGAUAUUAAAUUUCUUUUCAUUUGAGGUACAUAUAAGACAUUCUUAAGUAUGACAUAUCUAUCUCUAAAAAACAACUUUAAAUCAACCACUGCUCUAGCUGAGACCAUCUCUCCUGUUCCAACCUUGAGAGUGAUCUCGCCUUUUGAAAGCUUUUUCCAAGAACUAUUUUCCUGAAAUGAGAAGCAAAUAUGGUUAGUGGCUCCUGAUUCUAGUAUCCAGGUAUAAUUUUCAUAUUCCACUAAACAUGUUUCUACAACUAGUAAAUCAUAUUUACCUUGUGUUUCCUAGUAUCAAGGUAUUUUGGGCAUGUUCCUAACGAGUGCCCGUUUUGGCCACAAUGGUAACACUUACCUUUUUCUGCACCUUUCUUACCCUUGUUCUGUUUGGGAGUCUUUCCCUUUCCCUUCUUUUUUAUUUGAGCAUUAGGUUUUGAGGGUCCAUCUUUGGUUUUAGAGGACGAUCCUCUUAUAAAUUUUCUUUUUGUGGUAGCAACAUUUGCUUCCACUUGUUUUCCUUUACCCAUAGUAAGGUUUUGGAAUCGCUGGAGUUCAUUCAGAAGGGUUGUCAAGUUAAAUUCUAUCUUGUUCAAAGACGCAUUCGUUUGGAAUGGAAUGAAGCUCUUCGGAAGAGACUCUAAGAUAAAAUUAACUUGAUUAACCUCUUCGAUGGGACCACCAUUCACUUCAGCGAUGUUGAAGUGCAUCAUCAUGUCCAGAACAUGUUCUCUAACAGAGGUCCCUUCCUUCAUACGCUUAGUGUAAAUGUAUUUGACUGCCUCGUGUCUUAAGGACCAUUCUGAUUGCCCAAACAUUCCCCUUAAUGAAUCCAUAAUCUCUUUAGCCGUGGCUAAGGAUUCAUGUUUCUUUGCCAAUACAUCAGACAUGCUGGCAAGAAUGUAGACACAGGCUUUUUCAUUAGCUUUUAUCCAUCGAUCAUAUGCAUCCCGACUAGUUCGGUUAGCAUUAGAGGUAGGGUUUUGAGGACAUUCCUCAGUUAAGACAAAUCUUAAAUCGUCAACCACUAGUAUUGUGUUAAGAUUUGAUUUCCAAGCCGCAUAAUUAUCGCCAUUAAGUUUUUCGAAAGCUAAAAGUUGAACUAUUGAGCUAUUCAUGCUGAAAAACAAACAUAUUCUUUUUAGGAAAAAACUAUAAUCAUAAAAAAUAUCCAAUCUAAUUUAGCAAUUACUAAUAAUGUACCCUUUCAUUAUUUGUAUUUUGCAACAAUAUUUCAAAGGUUUAGAACAACCUUCUCCGAAGGGUAGUUGAUUAUUCCUCCUUUGAACCAAGACAAUCUUGACUAGAUGCUAUCUCUAGAAUAACUGCUUAUUCUUUAUAGCACUUAGUUAUCGCUACUUUAGUCAAGAAUAUACUAACAACUUAGUAAUUCUUGUAAGUGUUACCCACCAUUUUCAGACUUCAUAGAUUAGAAUCAUUUAUGAAAACUAAUCUAAGAAAACCUAUCCAGAUUUGGAGUUCGCGGUGUUCCGAAUCCUAUAAUACAACCCUCCGAAGGAACGUCGCUCCAGGGCAGACAAGUAGGCAUAUUAUAGAAAUCUCACGGUGCGACCUAAUGGAAGAGACCGUGGGAUGUGCUGCCACAAAUCCCUCACCCACUUACUAUGAACUACUUCCCCUAUUCACCUUGAUUUUGAUCCAUGCAAACACUCUCCGAAGGGAGUCCGCUCCUAUGCACAGCACAAAGCCCUGCAUGGACCUCACAGUGUGAACUCUUAGGGACACUAGAGCUAAAAUACAUUUAUUUUUCUCUAGUUGAAGUGUUCUAAAGAAGAAAAAAAUAGGGUAAUCCAAGCUUCAAGAUUUAUAUUUAGGCUAACUUAAACAAAUCUUUAAGUCUAGAUAAAACGUCCAAGUAUAACCAUUAUACAGGAUUUUAACCUAUGAUGUCUAGGUGAUAAACCAUUUUUAUUACCUCACACCUCUCACGAAUGCUCAUAAAACUAGGUUAACUAGGCUCAAGAACUGAUUACGAUCUCCAGGUAGGAGGUGUUCCGUAAACCGUCAACUUAAGAACCUCCAGCCUUAGUCAUCUUAUCUGACUUGUUGACAAGAUUGAACCAGGUGAGCCUUUUGUAAAAACAAUAAUUAAUUAAUUUUAGACUUAAUCAAUCAUUUUAUCAAUAUAUAACCUUAUAAAAACAAUCAAUUAAUAUGGAUUUUAAUUUAUUUAACUUUAAUUAAAUCAUAUUUAAUUUUUAAUUUAAUUAAAUCAUUUUAAUUAAUUAAAUCAUAUUUAAUUAAAUUAAAUCAAACAAUAAUUAAUUAAUUUGAUUAAAUCAUAUUUAAUCAAGAAUAACUUAAUUAAUUAAAUAAUUAAUUAAUCAUAUUAAUUAAUUUCCAUAUUAAUCAAUUAACAUGCAUACAAUACAAUAUAACCUUUAUAUCAUACAUUUUAAUGCAUGAACAUGUUAACCUAUGGUUGGAUUUUAAAUCUAUAUGACAUUCAAAAUGCACAUACAAAUUUAAAGUAAUUUAAUCAUACAUCACAUGCAUAAAUAAAAAAAACACCCUAAAAUGGACUGAUUUUUGGCUCCUAAAUUAAGCUAAGUACUAAAUUAUUACAUAAUUAAUUUGGUGUAGUACAGAACCACUCCCAAAAACUUCGAACCGGCCAAAAACCAAAUUUAUUGGCUUGAACCGGGCCAAUUAACUAAACAGGCCCAGGCGCACACAGGUCAGGCGCACGGCGCGCGGCGCAGGCGGGUCGCGAAGCGGGUCAAGGCCGGGUUUUCGGGUCUGUGACCUUCUUUUCUUCAUUUUUUCAAUUCUCUCACCCGGUUGAACCAAUUACAGCCUAACUUCAACUCUAAUGACUUUUUUUUAUUUUAAAAAAAUUACGAACACUUUGCAACAAUAAAAAUAAGCCAUUAACAAGGCUAAUUACAAUAAUUAGAACAAAAUGUUGGAUUUUCCCACUAACUUAGUCCAAGGGUAAAAUGGUCAUUAGAUAUUUCUAAUCAAAAGUCAAACUUUGACUUUUCUUAGUCAAAAGUCAAUAUUUUGACUUUUUACCAUUUUGUCCGUCUUGACUAAUUCCAACCUCCGAGCAUGAAUCCGCAUUCAUUUGUCCAAAAUUCAAAUCACAUUUGAAUAUAAGGGCGGUCAAAGUUUGACUUUUCAAAGUCAAAAGUCAAAAUUUUGACUUUUUGACUUUUUUACUAUUUUUGACCAAUUUCAUCAAUUCCGAGCUUCUUAGUAUGAAUCCGCAUUCUAUUUCUAAUUAGAAGACCGACGACUAUAUCACUAUAUUUGUCGAUUUCCCUUUCUUCUCCCAAUUCGAACAAUUCGACUUAUUUUAUCACCAUGUUCUAAGUUUAAUCCAUAUGAGCUAGCAGAGGAACCUAAUAGACCUAUAGAUCAUGGGCUCCAAUGAUUCAAGAUUAACUAGCUAAACUCUUUUAAACUGAGUUAAUCAACAUUCGUUAACUAACGGGUCAUUCCACUAAAGUCCCGUAGUUG